rnacentral:tRNA from 16 species
GCAGUGUCCUAGUGGUAUAUGCACAGGCCUGCAGAAGUAAAGAUGCUGGUUUAAUUUCCACAG